AGCCCCCUUGUAUUCGUGCUGAGAUUUCGUCAAAGAUCAGCCCGUUGUGGCUGAUGGUACUUCCCAAAUAAGUGAAGCG
rfam:Trichobilharzia regenti genome assembly, scaffold: TRE_scaffold0021196